rnacentral:rRNA from 1 species
UACGUAGGGGGCGAGCGUUGUCCGGAUUUAUUGGGCGUAAAGAGCUCGUAGGCGGUUUGGUAAGUUGGAUGUGAAAUCUCCAGGCUCAACUUGGAGGGGUCAUUCGAUACUGCCAUGACUAGAGUUCGGUAGGGGAGUGUGGAAUUCCUGGUGGAGCGGUGAAAUGCGCAGAUAUCAGGAGGAACACCGAUGGCGAAGGCAGGUCUCUGGGCCGAUACUGACGCUGAGGAGCGAAAGCGUGGGGAGCGAACAGG